rnacentral:piRNA from 1 species
UAGUGUGUUUGUCGAAUUAAA